GAUGAACGCUGGCGGCGUGCCUAAUACAUGCAAGUAGAACGCUGAAGGAGGAGCUUGCUCUUUCCGGAUGAGUUGCGAACGGGUGAGUAACGCGUAGGUAACCUGCCUGGUAGCGGGGGAUAACUAUUGGAAACGAUAGCUAAUACCGCAUAACAGUAGAUAUUGCAUGAUAUUUGCUUGAAAGGGGCAAUUGCUCCACUACCAGAUGGACCUGCGUUGUAUUCGCUAGUUGGUGAGGUAACGGCUCACCAAGGCGACGAUACAUAGCCGACCUGAGAGGGUGAUCUGCCACACUGGGAUUGAGACACGGCCCAGACUCCUACGGGAGGCAGCAGUAGGGAAUCUUCGGCAAUGGACGGAAGGCUGACCGAGCAACGCCGCGUGAGUGAAGAAUGUUUUCGGAUCGUAAAGCUCUGUUGUAAGAGAAGAACGAGGGUGAGAGUGGAAAGUUCACACUGUGACGGUAUCUUACCAGAAAGGGACGGCUAACUACGUG
rnacentral:rRNA from 1 species